CUGGAGGUAUCAGAAGUGCGAAUGCUGACAUAAGUAACGAUAAAGCGGGUGAAAAGCCCGCUCGCCGGAAGACCAAGGGUUCCUGUCCAACGUUAAUCGGGGCAGGGUGAGUCGACCCCUAAGGCGAGGCCGAAAGGCGUAGUCGAUGGGAAACGGGUUAAUAUUCCCGUACUUGGUGUUACUGCGAAGGGGGGACGGAGAAGGCUAUGUUGGCCGGGCGACGGUUGUCCCGGUUUAAGCGUGUAGGUGUGUGUUCCAGGUAAAUCCGGUUCACUUUAACACUGAGGCGUGACGACGAGGCACUACGGUGCUGAAGCAACAAAUGCCCUGCUUCCAGGAAAAGCCUCUAAGCAUCAGGUAACAUCAAAUCGUACCCCAAACCGACACAGGUGGUCAGGUAGAGAAUACCAAGGCGCUUGAGAGAACUCGGGUGAAGGAACUAGGCAAAAUGGUGCCGUAACUUCGGGAGAAGGCACGCUGACACGUAGGUGAAGUGAUUUACUCAUGGAGCUGAAGUCAGUCGAAGAUACCAGCUGGCUGCAACUGUUUAUUAAAAACACAGCACUGUGCAAACACGAAAGUGGACGUAUACGGUGUGACGCCUGCCCGGUGCCGGAAGGUUAAUUGAUGGGGUCAGCGCAAGCGAAGCUCCUGAUCGAAGCCCCGGUAAACGGCGGCCGUAACUAUAACGGUCCUAAGGUAGCGAAAUUCCUUGUCGGGUAAGUUCCGACCUGCACGAAUGGCGUAAUGAUGGCCAGGCUGUCUCCACCCGAGACUCAGUGAAAUUGAACUCGCUGUGAAGAUGCAGUGUACCCGCGGCAAGACGGAAAGACCCCGUGAACCUUUACUAUAGCUUGACACUGAACAUUGAGCCUUGAUGUGUAGGAUAGGUGGGAGGCUUUGAAGUGUGGACGCCAGUCUGCAUGGAGCCGACCUUGAAAUACCACCCUUUAAUGUUUGAUGUUCUAACGUGGACCCGUAA
rnacentral:rRNA from 1 species